rnacentral:misc_RNA from 1 species
GGCUAGUCUUGUAUUCAAAACCAGUAUGAGGCUGAGCCUACUAUAGUAGGCUAUUUAAAGGAAUAUCUAUACUGUUUACCUAAAAAAUUUAGGAAUAUCUGUAAUGUAGUUUGUGAGAUGAUGUUUUCAUGGAAAUUCUGAUGUCUCUGUGCCAUCAUUACUGCAUUGCUGUUGAUAAGUAUCCAGUCUAUUGACAUUCUCUGUUGCUUUUGCAGUCUUACAUGGAUUCUG